rnacentral:rRNA from 1 species
UACGAAGGGGGCUAGCGUUGCUCGGAAUCACUGGGCGUAAAGCGCACGUAGGCGGCUUUCUAAGUCAGGGGUGAAAUCCUGGAGCUCAACUCCAGAACUGCCUUUGAUACUGGAGAGCUUGAGUCCGGAAGAGGUGAGUGGAACUCCGAGUGUAGAGGUGAAAUUCGUAGAUAUUCGGAAGAACACCGGUGGCGAAGGCGGCCCACUGGUCCGGUACUGACGCUGAGGUGCGAAAGCGUGGGGAGCAAACAGG